UGGAGAGAGAAAUAACAUCGUGGAAGAGACAUAAAUAUAUGGGGAAGAUCACCUCAGAACACGGUCCCUCAGUAUUGGUGCCCCUCAAGGCUGUGUCCUCUCACCACUAUUGUUCUCCCUCUACACCAAUGACUGCACCUCCAAGAACUCGGCUGUAUGGCUGCAACUCCUGAUUUUUGCAGAUGACACCACCGUCAUUGGCCUCAUUCAGGAUGGCGAUGAGUCUGCAUAUCAACAGGAAGUUGAGCGGCUGGUACACUGGUGCAGUCAGCACAACCUGGAGGUGAACACACUUAAGACUGCAGAGAUGACAGUGGACUUCAGGAGACAUCCCUCAAUACUGCUCCCUCUCACAUUAUCUGACAGCCCGGUGUCUACUGUGGAGAUCUUCAAGUUCCUGGGUACCACCAUCUCCCAGGACCUGAAGUGGGAGACUAACAUCUCCUCCAUCCGCAAAAAGACCCAGCAGACGUCGUACUUCCUGAGACAACUGGAGAAGUACAGUCUUCCACAAGAGCUGCUGAUCCAGUUCUACACUGCAGUCAUUGAGUCUGUCCUGUGUUACUCCAUCACAGUUUGGUAUGGAGCAGCCACUAAACAGGACAGGUGCAGACUGCAGCGGACUGUACGGGUAGCAGAAAAGAUUAUCGACGCCCCCUGCCCUCCAUCCAGGACUUGUAAUGGGCAGGGAAAAUCGUUACAGAUCCCUCACACCUUGGACACAGACUUUUUCACCUGCUGCCUUCUAUAAAUUACACUGGGACACAGUGCAGUUUCUGAUAGUUCAUCUUCAUUUAAAUGAUAAAGUUUACACCACCCAUAAGGCAAAAAAAAAAUGUUUCAAUCUUACUAUGUAGCGCCAGAGCUCAUUUUGCUAUAACUGCUAAUAAGCUACUUAAUACACUGUAUACAGUAGGCAUUUUAGUGAGACUUUAAAGCACUGGAUAAAAGAAUAAGUUAAUGAGAACAUUUAAAUCAUUCUGCUUUGUUUUGAUAUAUUGGCCUUUGGGGGGAAACAUAGAACUAAAAAAGCACAGAUAUUAUGAUCACUUAUGUAUCAUUUGGUUUUCUAUUUAUAAAAUCUUUUCCAUUUCCAUCUAUGAUCUUUUUAAAAUCUUUGUAUCUAUAUAGUUUAUGAAUGCUGGGCUUUGCACUGCAGUGUAAAUAUACUUUCAAGUGUUUUUGUACAGAAUAUAGAAACUAAAGACAGAAAUAUUAGCUGAACCAGUGCUGUUCCUUAAAACCACCUGUAGUGCAUUAUCAUUACACUGGUAUUUUGACGUGUUCAGGACUCCCCAAUAAAAAUAAAAGUAAGAUAAAAGAGUAGCACAAUAAAGUUGUAUUCACACAGUAUAUCAGCAUUUUAAAUUUUAAACAAAUAUUUUAAACAAAUUUCCCACGUGUGGGACUAAUAAAGGUUAUCUUAUCUUAUCUUAUCUUAAACCGUGACUUUAUUUGCUCUUCUGAACUGUGGGAAAGACAUGAACAUGUACAUAGCUACUGAAAUACUAAAAAUACUAAUCACCAGACUUUUUUUUUUUUUUUAAAUAUAAAUGAUUCCCACGCACCAUAAAAUGCUCAUUUGUGGUUUUUAUUUUUUCAGUUGUAUUAGAUAAAGUGCUGACUGGUGUACAACCACACAAAAACUAAUAUGUCAUGUCAUGUUUUCACAUGACAAUAACUCUUUUAGACUUGAACUGAUGAUAAACACACAGACAGUACAGAUGGAGACAAAUAAACUGUACUUGUUUUUUUACUGUUUCUUCUAUUUAAAGCUGAAGCUGACACAAGCUAUUAUAGUUUCUUUUACUUGUAGUUGCAGGCAUUAUACUUUCAGUGUUUCAUUUUUUUUCAGUGAAUUUUGAAGCCAGGAAACUGAACCAAUUCUGAGUAUCUCCACUUGUACUUUCAGUUAUGUCAACACCGUAUUUCAGUAAUUCUGUUCGUAUCUUAAAGAUGGCAUCAUUAUUUUCCUGACACGACAGCAAUCCAGGGACCUUCUUAUGGUAGAAAACAUGAACACACAAAACGACCUUACAAGAAUCCUUCCAUGUUUUCGCUGAGGAUACAGAUCUGGCUCCAUAUGUGUGAUGCAUCACAACCAGUAUGACAGGUUUAUCACCUGCAGUACAGAAAACAAAAAAC
ensembl:lncRNA